rnacentral:rRNA from 1 species
UACGAAGGGGGCUAGCGUUGCUCGGAAUCACUGGGCGUAAAGGGUGCGUAGGCGGCGGGGCAAGUCAGGUGUGAAAUCCCGGAGCUCAACUCCGGAACUGCACUUGAUACUGCCUUGCUAGAGUACUGGAGAGGAGACUGGAAUUUACGGUGUAGCAGUGAAAUGCGUAGAUAUCGUAAGGAAGACCAGUGGCGAAGGCGAGUCUCUGGACAGUUACUGACGCUGAGGCACGAAGGCCAGGGGAGCAAACGGG